AGUCAAGUAAUUAAGUGCAUGUGGUGGAUGCCUUGGCAGUCAGAGGCGAUGAAAGACGUGAUAGCCUGCGAAAAGCUCCGGGGAGGCGGCAAAUAUCCUUUGAUCCGGAGAUGUCUGAAUGGGGGAACCCACCUACUUUAAGGUAGGUAUUGCAACAUGAAUACAUAGUGUUGCAAGGCGAACGAGGGGAAGUGAAACAUCUCAGUACCCUUAGGAAAAGAAAUCAAUUGAGAUUCCCUCAGUAGCGGCGAGCGAACGGGGAUCAGCCCAUUAAGUUAUGUGUGUUUUAGUGGAACGCUCUGGGAAGUGCGAACGUAGAGGGUGAUAUUCCCGUACACGAAAGGGCACACAUAAUGAUGACGAGUAGGGCGAGGCACGUGAAACCUUGUCUGAAUAUGGGGGGACCAUCCUCCAAGGCUAAAUACUCCUGACUGACCGAUAGUGAACCAGUACCGUGAGGGAAAGGCGAAAAGAACCCCUGUGAGGGGAGUGAAAUAGAUCCUGAAACCGCAUGCAUACAAGCAGUGGGAGCACCUUCGUGGUGUGACUGCGUACCUUUUGUAUAAUGGGUCAGCGACUUAUAUUCAGUAGCGAGGUUAACCGUAUAGGGGAGCCGUAGAGAAAUCGAGUCUUAAUAGGGCGUUUAGUUGCUGGGUAUAGACCCGAAACCAGGCGAUCUAUCCAUGAGCAGGUUGAAGGUUGGGUAACACUAACUGGAGGACCGAACCCACUGUCGUUGAAAAGCCAGGGGAUGACUUGUGGAUAGGGGUGAAAGGCUAAUCAAGCCUGGUGAUAGCUGGUUCUCCCCGAAAGCUAUUUAGGUAGCGCCUCGGACGAAUACCAUAGGGGGUAGAGCACUGUUUCGGCUAGGGGGUCAUCCCGACUUACCAAACCGAUGCAAACUCCGAAUACCUAUGAGUACUAUCCGGGAGACAGACUGCGGGUGCUAACGUCCGUAGUCAAGAGGAAAACAAUCCAGACCGCCAGCUAAGGCCCCAAAAUCAUAGUUAAGUGGGAAACGAUGUGGGAAGGCAUAGACAGCUAGGAGGUUGGCUUAGAAGCAGCCACCCUUUAAAGAAAGCGUAAUAGCUCACUAGUCGAGUCGGCCUGCGCGGAAGAUGUAACGGGGCUAAAACUAUGUGCCGAAGCUGCGGAUGUAUACUUUGUAUACGUGGUAGGGGAGCGUUCUGUAAGCCGAUGAAGGUGUGUUGAGAAGCAUGCUGGAGGUAUCAGAAGUGCGAAUGCUGACGUGAGUAACGACAAAACGGGUGAAAAACCCGUUCGCCGAAAGACCAAGGGUUCCAGUCCAACGUUAAUCGGGGCUGGGUGAGUCGACCCCUAAGGCGAGGCCGAAAGGCGUAGUCGAUGGGAAAAUGGUUAAUAUUCCAUUACUUCUGUGUAAUGCGAUGAGAGGACGGAGAAGGCUAAAUCAGCCUGGCGUUGGUUGUCCAGGUGAAAGGAUGUAGGCAUGUAUCUUAGGCAAAUCCGGGGUACUCUAUGCUGAGAUCUGAUAGCAAGCUGUACUUGUACAGCGAAGUGGUUGAUGCCAUGCUUCCAGGAAAAGUCUCUAAGCUUCAGUUACACAGGAAUCGUACCCGAAACCGACACAGGUGGUCAGGUCGAGUAGACCAAGGCGCUUGAGAGAACUCUGCUGAAGGAACUAGGCAAAAUGGUACCGUAACUUCGGGAGAAGGUACGCUGUUGUUGGUGAUGGAACUCGCUUCCUGAGCUGACGAUAGCCGCAGAAACCAGGCCGCUGCAACUGUUUAUUAAAAACAUAGCACUCUGCAAACACGAAAGUGGACGUAUAGGGUGUGAUGCCUGCCCGGUGCUGGAAGGUUAAUUGAUGGGGUUAGCGUAAGCGAAGCUCUUGAUCGAAGCCCCAGUAAACGGCGGCCGUAACUAUAACGGUCCUAAGGUAGCGAAAUUCCUUGUCGGGUAAGUUCCGACCUGCACGAAUGGCAUAAUGAUGGCGGCGCUGUCUCCAGCAGAGGCUCAGUGAAAUCGAAAUCGCUGUGAAGAUGCAGUGUACCCGCGGCUAGACGGAAAGACCCCGUGAACCUUUACUGCAGCUUGACACUGAACUUUGACCUUACUUGUGUAGGAUAGGUGGGAGGCUUUGAAGCUGGAACGCUAGUUCCAGUGGAGCCGUCCUUGAAAUACCACCCUGGUAAUGUUGAGGUUCUAACUCUGUCCCGUGAUCCGGGACGAGGACCGUGUCUGGUGGGUAGUUUGACUGGGGCGGUCUCCUCCUAAAGAGUAACGGAGGAGUACGAAGGUGCGCUCAGCGUGGUCGGAAAUCACGCGUAGAGUAUAAAGGCAAAAGCGCGCUUAACUGCGAGACCCACAAGUCGAGCAGGUACGAAAGUAGGUCUUAGUGAUCCGGUGGUUCUGUAUGGAAGGGCCAUCGCUCAACGGAUAAAAGGUACUCUGGGGAUAACAGGCUGAUACCGCCCAAGAGUUCAUAUCGACGGCGGUGUUUGGCACCUCGAUGUCGGCUCAUCUCAUCCUGGGGCUGAAGCAGGUCCCAAGGGUAUGGCUGUUCGCCAUUUAAAGAGGUACGCGAGCUGGGUUUAGAACGUCGUGAGACAGUUCGGUCCCUAUCUACCGUGGGCGCUGGAAAUUUGAGAGGAUCUGCUCCUAGUACGAGAGGACCAGAGUGGACGAACCUCUGGUGUACCGGUUGUGACGCCAGUCGCAUCGCCGGGUAGCUAUGUUCGGAAGGGAUAACCGCUGAAAGCAUCUAAGCGGGAAGCCUACCUCAAGAUAAGAUUUCCCUAGGACUUUAUGUCCUCUAAAGAGCCGUUCGAGACUAGGACGUUGAUAGGUUGGAUGUGGAAGCAUAGUGAUAUGUGAAGCUGACCAAUACUAAUUGCUCGUGAGGCUUGACUAU
rnacentral:rRNA from 1 species